CCUCUGAUAGCUCAGCGGAAGAGCGCGGGGAGUAUAUCCAAAGGAAGGGUAUCGACACAUUUAUCCCCGAGGUCGUUGGUUCGACUCCAGCCCAGAGGG